GGAUUAGAUACCCUGGUAGUCUUAGCUGUAAACGAUGGAUACUGAGUGUUGGACGAAAUAAAGUUCAGUACUGUAGCUAACGCGUUAAGUAUCCCGCCUGGGGAGUAUGCUCGCAAGAGUAAAACUCAAAGGAAUUGACGGGGGCCCGCACAAGCGGUGGAGCAUGUGGUUUAAUUCGACGCAACGCGAAGAACCUUACCUGGGUUUGACAUCCCCGGCUCGCCCUGGAGACAGGGUUUUCUCUUCGGAGACCGGGUGACAGGUGCUGCAUGGCUGUCGUCAGCUCGUGCUG
rnacentral:rRNA from 1 species